ACCAUAUAUAGGUACUUAGGACCCUUGGGGCUACUAGUUACUAGAAAUGCUAUUGUGCUUCUCCCCUAAGGCUGAACCUGCAUCAUGUGGGUUUUUGAUUUAGCGUUGCCUCUUUCGGCAGCUGACCCUUGCGGAAGACAUAGUCAGGUGGGAGUUUUGCUGGAGCGGCACGUCUGUUAAAUGAUAACGCAGGUGUCCUAAGGUAAGCUCAACGAGAACAGAAAUCUUAUGUGGAACACAAGGGGAAACGCUUACUUGAUUUUGGUUUUCGGUACCAAUGACAAACCUCAAAAGCCACGGCCUAUCGAUGCUUUAGGUCUGAGAAAUAUUAAUAUAGAGAUGUCACAACAGAAAAGCUACCUCAGGGAUAACUGACUUGUGGCAGCCAAGUAUGAAGCGUUCAUCGUGACGUUGUUCUUUUGUUCCGUGCCGGGAAUA
rnacentral:ncRNA from 1 species